GACGACGACGACGUCGACAGCGGCGGCGGCGACGACGACGACGUCGACAGCGGCGGCGGCAACGACAACGACGUCGACGACGACGUCGACAGCGGCGGCGACGACGACCCCAACGGCGUCAGCCGAAACGGCGACGACAGGAUUCGUAACAUUAAGUACUUUAGAUCUAGAGAAAAUAAUUAGUGCGGCAUUCGCUCGAGGAAGAGGGAGAGGCAGAGGAAGAGGGAGAGGACGAGGAAGAGGAAGAGGACGAGGACGAGGAAGAGGUAGAGGUGGUCGCGGGACGAUAAUAAGAGGAGGGAGGAGGGGCAUACAAGUCCACAAUUAUUUAUUAUAAUUAAAAUAAUUAUAAUAAUUACAAAAUAUUUUAAUAAAAAUAAAUAAUUAUUUUUAAAAAGGUAUAUAUUUAAUUAAAUUGUCGCCCUCGUAACGUUGUAUUGAAAUUAGAUCGAUUAUCUUCACGUAAAAUCGCACUUGAAAGAAAAUAAAAAUAUGAUUCUCAGGUAUCCAUAAAUUCUUUUAUUACAUUAUUAUUUUUUUGUACAAUAUUAAACACGCGCAUAUUGU